UACGUAGGGGGCAAGCGUUGUCCGGAUUUAUUGGGCGUAAGGCGCGUGUAGGCGGCCACGCAGGUCCGCUGUGAAAACUCGAGGCUCAACCUCGAGAUGUCGGUGGAAACCGCGUGGCUAGAGUCCGGAAGAGGAGAGUGGAAUUCCCGGUGUAGCGGUGAAAUGCGCAGAUAUCGGGAAGAACACCCAUGGCGAAGGCAGCUCUCUGGGACGGUACUGACGCUGAGACGCGAAAGCGUGGGGAGCGAACAGG
rnacentral:rRNA from 1 species